UUAAAUAGCCGCAAUAUCGUGCUAAGGUAGCAUAAUCAUUUGUCUUUUAAUUGAAGACUAGAACAAAAGAUUUAACAUUUUAGUUUUUUUCUUUAAUUUUCUAAUCAAAUUUUUCCUAAAUGUAAAAAGACCUUUAUAAAAAAGAAAGACGAUAAGACCCUAUUGAACUUAACUUAAGUUAAACUGGGGAAGUAAAUUAAUUAUUAUUUUAAUAUUAUUUUUAAUUCAAACAUCUAAUAUAAUUAAAUAAAUCAGUUACCAUAGGGAUAACAGCGUAAUUUAUUUUAUAAGUUCUUAUAUAAAUAUUAGUUUACGACCUCGAUGUUGAAUUAACCACUUAAUUUUUGCAAAAGAAAAUUAAAGAAGUCUGUUCGACUUUUAAAAAGUUACGUGAUCUGAGUUCAGACCGGAGA
rnacentral:rRNA from 1 species